UGUUCAACCUUAUAGCCGUUGGCUGACACGAUAAUAAAUAGGUAAAACCAAGUUUGCAAACCACCGCAUGGAUGAAUAUCUAAAAGGAUCUUCGUCAAGCAAAUGUGUAAAGCCGGCGAGUGCGCCUAAUGUUGGCGAUCCAGACGCAACAGUUUCAACGCGUGCAUAGCCGUGCUUCUGGCCACAGCAAGUAAUGAUUGCCCGUGUACAAUUUCCAUGCAACUACGCUUGGCAUUGUCCACUGCUCGCUCGUCCCUCGAAAGUCAUUUUCUUUACUGCUACUGUCACUAGUACUAUCCCUAAAAGGUGGUUUAAUUUCUAAAGGCCUGAUUAGUUCA
rnacentral:lncRNA from 1 species